rnacentral:snoRNA from 1 species
AUCCUUUUGUGGUUCAUAAGCAUGAUGAAUGGGUGUUCCUGCAUUUGUGUGAUAUGUGCCUCCCUCAAACCUUGUUACGACACCGGCACAUUACCCAUCUGUCG